UGCUGUGAUGGUGUAAUUUGCGUCCGACUCUGUGUCCAGUGACAGAUGCCUACUGUCAUAUGCUGGCACAAUUGAUUGACGAACCUUGAGUCUGAGCA